rfam:Spirochaetes bacterium RBG_13_51_14 RBG_13_scaffold_629, whole genome shotgun sequence.
AACAAGGCCUUUUUCAAGGCCAUGAAUUCUUAAACAGGGUGAUA